rnacentral:ncRNA from 1 species
CGGUGCCUCCCGCACCGCAAGGCGGGAGGAUAAUAGGGAAGCAGGUGCGAAUCCUGCACGAGCCCGUCACUGUAUUAGGCGAGUAUGCGGCAAAGCGCUUUGGCGCGGUCACUGAAUUCUCCAUCGGGAAGGCCGCUGCAUAUCGAGACCCUUGAGUCAGGAGACCUGCCGAUUG